CAGAUUUCAUGCUGGGAUAAUAGGCUCUCUGAAAAUUCUAGAACUGAGAAGUGCCCAGUUCUUUCUCCUUUGAGAUCAUUGAAGAGAAGAAGAUUCCUUCAGGGAGCAAUGAAGCAUAGGUUUGAACUCUGGUGAAAUCUCUCCGUGAAAUCUCUCCUUUCAGUGUUGAUGGGGACGUGAGGAGGCAAGCCUAAUGCUAGCCUUUAUGUCUGCUUCUCAAGGCAUCAAGCUGACUUGAGCAAGGCAAGUAAAAGGAAAGAACAGGAAGUGCAGGAAGCCAGAAGCACAAUUUUAGAUCAAGUACUCUCUUCAUCACUUGGCAUAAGGACUGCUCUCAAAAAAAUGUGCAGCUUCCACUCAGUGCUUACUUGAGUGCAUCCUGCUACUGUAGCAACGAAGGCCCUAUCUCACAAAACAAACCCCACUGAAGGUACAUGUGUAACCUGAAUGCAAGGAUAACAGAGCACUGUGCUGAGAUUUUUUUAACUGGCAGUUAUGGGAAGGGACUUCAACUUCAGUGGCCUUGAUCCAUCACAUCCAAG
rnacentral:lncRNA from 1 species